rnacentral:rRNA from 1 species
GGGUUGUGAGGUUAAGCGACUAAGCGUACACGGUGGAUGCCCUGGCAGUCAGAGGCGAUGAAGGACGUGCUAAUCUGCGAAAAGCGUCGGUAAGGUGAUAUGAACCGUUAUAACCGGCGAUGUCCGAAUGGGGAAACCCAGUGCAAUUCGUUGCACUAUCGUUAACUGAAUACAUAGGUUAACGAGGCGAACCGGGGGAACUGAAACAUCUAAGUACCCCGAGGAAAAGAAAUCAACCGAGAUUCCCCCAGUAGCGGCGAGCGAACGGGGAGCAGCCCAGAGUCUGAAUCAGCUUGUGUGUUAGUGGAACGGUCUGGAAAGUCCGACGGUACAGGGUGAUAGUCCCGUACACCAAAAUGCACAGGCUGUGAACUCGAAGAGUAGGGCGGGACACGUGGUAUCCUGUCUGAAUAUGGGGGGACCAUCCUCCAAGGCUAAAUACUCCUGACUGACCGAUAGUGAACCAGUACCGUGAGGGAAAGGCGAAAAGAACCCCGGCGAGGGGAGUGAAAAAGAACCUGAAACCGUGUACGUACAAGCAGUGGGAGCACCUUCGGGUGUGACUGCGUACCUUUUGUAUAAUGGGUCAGCGACUUAUAUUCUGUAGCAAGGUUAACCGUAUAGGGGAGCCGCAGGGAAACCGAGUCUUAACUGGGCGUUAAGUUGCAGGGUAUAGACCCGAAACCCGGUGAUCUAGCCAUGGGCAGGUUGAAGGUUGGGUAACACUAACUGGAGGACCGAACCGACUAAUGUUGAAAAAUUAGCGGAUGACUUGUGGCUGGGGGUGAAAGGCCAAUCAAACCGGGAGAUAGCUGGUUCUCCCCGAAAGCUAUUUAGGUAGCGCCUCGUGAACUCAUCUUCGGGGGUAGAGCACUGUUUCGGCUAGGGGGUCAUCCCGACUUACCAACCCGAUGCAAACUACGAAUACCGAAGAAUGUUAUCACGGGAGACACACGGCGGGUGCUAACGUCCGUCGUGAAGAGGGAAACAACCCAGACCGCCAGCUAAGGUCCCAAAGUCAUGGUUAAGUGGGAAACGAUGUGGGAAGGCACAGACAGCCAGGAUGUUGGCUUAGAAGCAGCCAUCAUUUAAAGAAAGCGUAAUAGCUCACUGGUCGAGUCGGCCUGCGCGGAAGAUGUAACGGGGCUAAACCAUGCACCGAAGCUGCGGCAGCGACACUAUGUGUUGUUGGGUAGGGGAGCGUUCUGUAAGCCUGCGAAGGUGUGCUGUGAGGCAUGCUGGAGGUAUCAGAAGUGCGAAUGCUGACAUAAGUAACGAUAAAGCGGGUGAAAAGCCCGCUCGCCGGAAGACCAAGGGUUCCUGUCCAACGUUAAUCGGGGCAGGGUGAGUCGACCCCUAAGGCGAGGCCGAAAGGCGUAGUCGAUGGGAAACAGGUUAAUAUUCCUGUACUUGGUGUUACUGCGAAGGGGGGACGGAGAAGGCUAUGUUAGCCGGGCGACGGUUGUCCCGGUUUAAGCAUGUAGGCUGGUUAUCCAGGCAAAUCCGGAUAAUCAAGGCUGAGGUGUGAUGACGAGGCACUACGGUGCUGAAGUAACAAAUGCCCUGCUUCCAGGAAAAGCCUCUAAGCAUCAGGUAACAUCAAAUCGUACCCCAAACCGACACAGGUGGUCAGGUAGAGAAUACCAAGGCGCUUGAGAGAACUCGGGUGAAGGAACUAGGCAAAAUGGUGCCGUAACUUCGGGAGAAGGCACGCUGGUGUGUAGGUGAAGUCCCUGCGGAUGGAGCUGAGACCAGUCGAAGAUACCAGCUGGCUGCAACUGUUUAUUAAAAACACAGCACUGUGCAAACACGAAAGUGGACGUAUACGGUGUGACGCCUGCCCGGUGCCGGAAGGUUAAUUGAUGGGGUUAUCCGUAAGGAGAAGCUCUUGAUCGAAGCCCCGGUAAACGGCGGCCGUAACUAUAACGGUCCUAAGGUAGCGAAAUUCCUUGUCGGGUAAGUUCCGACCUGCACGAAUGGCGUAAUGAUGGCCAGGCUGUCUCCACCCGAGACUCAGUGAAAUUGAACUCGCUGUGAAGAUGCAGUGUACCCGCGGCAAGACGGAAAGACCCCGUGAACCUUUACUAUAGCUUGACACUGAACAUUGAGCCUUGAUGUGUAGGAUAGGUGGGAGGCUUUGAAGCGUGGACGCCAGUCUGCGUGGAGCCAACCUUGAAAUACCACCCUUUAAUGUUUGAUGUUCUAACGUUGGCCCCUUACCGGGGUUGCGGACAGUGUCUGGUGGGUAGUUUGACUGGGGCGGUCUCCUCCCAAAGCGUAACGGAGGAGCACGAAGGUUAGCUAAUCCUGGUCGGACAUCAGGAGGUUAGUGCAAUGGCAUAAGCUAGCUUGACUGCGAGCGUGACGGCGCGAGCAGGUGCGAAAGCAGGUCAUAGUGAUCCGGUGGUUCUGAAUGGAAGGGCCAUCGCUCAACGGAUAAAAGGUACUCCGGGGAUAACAGGCUGAUACCGCCCAAGAGUUCAUAUCGACGGCGGUGUUUGGCACCUCGAUGUCGGCUCAUCACAUCCUGGGGCUGAAGUAGGUCCCAAGGGUAUGGCUGUUCGCCAUUUAAAGUGGUACGCGAGCUGGGUUUAGAACGUCGUGAGACAGUUCGGUCCCUAUCUGCCGUGGGCGCUGGAGAAUUGAGGGGGGCUGCUCCUAGUACGAGAGGACCGGAGUGGACGCAUCACUGGUGUUCGGGUUGUCAUGCCAAUGGCACUGCCCGGUAGCUAAAUGCGGAAGAGAUAAGUGCUGAAAGCAUCUAAGCACGAAACUUGCCCCGAGAUGAGUUCUCCCUGAGACUUUAAGUCUCCUGAAGGAACGUU